rnacentral:misc_RNA from 1 species
CCCGCUGAUUAAGAGUCAGCUGCUCUACCAACUGAGCUAUGCGCCCGGAUCCAAUCCGGAUGUCCGUUGAGGACGGCGUCGUUUAGCAAAGCGAAACGGCCAUGUCCAGCAAGGUUGCAGUGUUUUCCCNNNNNNGCCAAUGGAAAACCAGAUGGUUCCGGAUGCGAAAAACCGCCGGAAAUCCGGCGGUUUUUGUUGGCGCGACAGGCUUUCAGCCGAUCCUUCAGAGGCGCUCGGAG